GACGAACGCUGGCGGCGUGCCUAAUACAUGCAAGUAGAACGCACAGUUUAUACCGUAGCUUGCUACACCAUAAACUGUGAGUUGCGAACGGGUGAGUAACGCGUAGGUAACCUGCCUGGUAGCGGGGGAUAACUAUUGGAAACGAUAGCUAAUACCGCAUAAUAUUGAUUAUUGCAUGAUAAUUGAUUGAAAGAUGCUAUUGCAUCACUACCAGAUGGACCUGCGUUGUAUUAGCUAGUAGGUGAGGUAACGGCUCACCUAGGCGACGAUACAUAGCCGACCUGAGAGGGUGAUCGGCCACACUGGGACUGAGACACGGCCCAGACUCCUACGGGAGGCAGCAGUAGGGAAUCUUCGGCAAAGGACGAAAGUCUGACCGAGCAACGCCGCGUGAGUGAAGAAGGUUUUCGGAUCGUAAAGCUCUGUUGUAAGAGAAGAACGGGUGUGAGAGUGGAAAGUUCACACUGUGACGGUAUCUUACCAGAAAGGGACGGCUAACUACGU
rnacentral:rRNA from 1 species